GAUGAACGCUAGCUACAGGCUUAACACAUGCAAGUCGGGGGGAAACGAUAGAGAAAGCUUGCUUUUUCUAGGCGUCGACCGGCGCACGGGUGAGUAACGCGUAUCCAACCUGCCCAUCACUUGGGGAUAACCUUGCGAAAGUAAGACUAAUACCCAAUGACGUCUCUAGAAGACAUCUGAAAGAGAUUAAAGAUUUAUCGGUGAUGGAUGGGGAUGCGUCUGAUUAGCUUGUUGGCGGGGUAACGGCCCACCAAGGCGACGAUCAGUAAGGGUUCUGAGAGGAAGGUCCCCCACAUUGGAACUGAGACACGGUCCAAACUCCUACGGGAGGCAGCAGUGAGGAAUAUUGGUCAAUGGGCGAGAGCCUGAACCAGCCAAGUAGCGUGCAGGAUGACGGCCCUAUGGGUUGUAAACUGCUUUUAUGAGGGAAUAAAGUGAGUCUCGUGAGACUUUUUGCAUGUACCUUAUGAAUAAGGACCGGCUAAUUCCGUGCCAGCAGCCGCCGUAA
rnacentral:rRNA from 1 species